AGAUUAGUAAAAGUUUAUUCUGGAUUAACAGGAUUUUCAGUUGAUGUCGAAAUGGCUAGCUGGCUAAUGGCUACUGACUUUCAGUUCAGGCCGUUUAACAAGGUGCAGAAGCGGAAAUUGAUUCUAUUGCUUUGUCGUUUACUGAGCGUUGCGUCAAAAAUGGAAACGGAAGCCGAACCGUUUUCUUUCGGAUGACAUUUUGACGGUUCAACCGUCUGGGUCAAAUAGGUACAAAAGAAGAGCGUCUUCUUGAUGGAAGCCGGAAGAAGAGGGAAGAAGAGGGCUAGAGGGGGUUUCUACUUUCUAGCAGCACUCAGUCAUCCAGUGGAGAUCGGCGAGCCAGAACUAUUACAGUGCAAGAUUCAAGUGUCUGGUUUAUUUUAUUUUGUUUUGUUUGAAAGGAUAUUCUUUUCUGAAAAAUGAGCAAUGCAUGGUUUGGGGCUGUAUUACAGUGAAGUUCUAGUUUGUAUUCAAAGAGCUAUAUGUUCUUCAACGCUUUAGAUCAAAGAGGCAUUGGAAAUCUGACAAGCUUUAGAUUCUAAGAAGUUGUUCUAGGAAGAAAGUUUUCUUCUGCUUUGCUGAUCAGUACAGAGGACAAGUACACGAGAAAACUUUGUUUUCCUUGGCAUUUACAUGAAAACAAAUUAGAAAGGAGCAGAAAACAAAUUUUUUGCUGUAAGAGAGGCACCGAUGAUAGCUGAAAUAUUUCAGACUGAAUCUUUUCUGUCCAUUGGCGGAGAAACAAGCACAACUUAAAGACAAAUAAAGGGGAUGUGGAUCUGACUAGUCAAGUGACUCAAAUGACAAAUCUGAGCCUGUUAGCCGUCAUGGAUCAAUCUGUUUGUUUUGUCGUUCUCUAUAGGAUUUACCAGUCACAGUUGCAGGAAUUUACCAUCUCUCCUUGGUGGAAUAUAUGAAUGAUGGAUGCAGCCCAAUGCAUGUACUAAUUUCAUAUCCAGGCGGCUAGUAAACUGUUCUCGUGGUCAGCAUGACAGGUUCUUCAUAUCUUUUUAUGAAGUCCAGCAGUGUCGCCAUCAUCAUCUAAGCCUUGUUACAACUAUAUGGGGUCAGCUACCUGUAGAUGCUUUAGACUCAAAUUAUUCUUUUGUUGAUAAACUCACAGUUACAUGGCAUUUGGUCUUGCAUGCAUACUUCGUAACAUAUUUAGCGCCAGUAAAUUUUUGGGAGUUCAUAUGACUUAUUCUUGAAGGUCUUGGCUAUGAAAGGUGAUCUCUAUUUUCUUUAUCAUUUCUCCUUUCCAUCUGGAGACAGGCUUGGUCGAAUUAAUGGGUUCUGUGGAUAAGGCACUGCAGGUGCACACUAGGAGGCACACCUCCAAGCAAGGCACUAAGAAAAUGCUUGGAGGUGCACAGUAGAGGCGUGGAUACACUUGAGUCAUAUGCCCAGGCAUACACUUGAGCCGAAUGCCCUUAGUAUAUGCCUCUUAUGUUCUUACCUUUUAAGAUGGUUUUUUUAUGGUAAAAAUAUAAAAGUGGAGGAACCAUUUUGUUUGGUUACCUAUUGUAUAUUAGCACAAAGCAAAGGAUGAAAUUCCUCCAAAUUUGUAUAUUGCAAUGUUAUAAUAAAAUGUUAUAAAUAGAAGUAGAGGCACCACCAUAGCUUUGAUUUCUUUAAAUGCAUUGCAUUCAUCUAAAUAUGAGAUGACAAACUUGCUUAUGUUAAUGUUGUGUAAUUUAUGUGAAUUGUUAAUUCUGGAAUUAUGGUUUGCAGCUUUGCAAGUGAUAUAGUGAUGGCUGAUGAUAUUUUUAUAGUUAUGGAUGGUGAUACUUCAAUCCCAUGUUUUAAAUAUAAUGAUUUUAUUAUUAGAAAUUACAAAUAUGAAAAUUUUUAAUUUUUCUUAAAAUUUCCUGUUUUUAUAGGAUAUUUACUAUCGUCUUUAUUUAUUUUAUCUUAUUUCUAAUUAUUUAUUAAUUAAAACAUCCAUGCUUAGGAGGCUUAUGCUUCUUGCAUUCUGGUUUAUGCCUUAGGAUGGUUGAAUGCCCUGUACCCUGUAUCAUGUAUCCAUGUUUUAAAUCACUGUUUGUGGAAGUUCAUUCAGUAGUAUCAUCUAACACUGAUAUAUUAUUUUGCAGACAAUUAUUUAUUCAUUUAUUUUGUUUUGGCAUCACCAGAAAUGCAUUGGUUUUGUUUUAUGAUCAAUUGGAUCAAGUUCUUACCUUCUAUACCUUAUUAGUUUAAACUGGACACUGACACUUGCUAAUGUUGGUAUGUAGAGUUGUUAGAUUCAGCAGCUGAUAGAUACUUGACAUACUGGCAUGUCUAUAUAUGAUUAUAAAGUACACCAUUUAGAAGUAGUAUGUAAACAGUAUUCAAUGUCCUGUGUUGUGUGUUUUGACUUUGCAUAGUUUGUAGGCUAUGAAUCAAAAUCCCUAUCUCUGUUAAGAUGCCCAUGUGGUAAAGUGGACAUUUAGGAUCUUGGCAUGAAGGUUCCACUAACACCUUCGAGAAUCAAAUUCCUCUCAUGCAAUAGAACUUUUAAUUGUUCAAAAGCCCAAAGAUCAGCUUGGCUAUUCACCUAUUGUCCCACUUCAGGUUGCUCUGGUUCCUCUAACUAGUGAUUGUAAAAUAUGGUGUAAAUAUGUAUAGAGAUACAUCUUGAUUUUAAGGGGAAAUAUAGUACUAGAAAAUAACAUUUGUGCAGGAAUAGGUUCUUCUUCUCUUUGGCUGGAUAUUCCAAUUGAGGGGGAACUUCUUGGAUGGUCUACAGUUCAAGAGCCAGAGUGAUCAGACAAUUCUAGCUGUCCGACCUUUAGAUGGUCAAUAAAAUGUAUGCAACUGCAUACUAGUCACAAAAUCUUUAACCCUCGUAUUGGAAGCUAUAUUAUGUGGUUGAGCUAGAUCCCAAUUAUGCACUGCUACCAUGCUUAUGUUUAAGAGUCACUUUUGAACUCCUAAUAUUUCUAAGAUGUAUAUAACUAUAUUUUAUGAAUUCCCACUUAAUUGAAUUGAACUUCCACUCUUCAUGCUAUGAUCCAUACAAGAGAGGGCCUUUCUUAUACAACAUGAUCGGUCAAUGUUUUAUGGGGAGGCAAGACCUCAUCACGUGUGGCAUGACUUUUUUAUUGGUUAAUUGUAAUGUUGUAACAUGGAUGUUUAUGUUUAUUACCACCAGUGAUUUUAAAUCUUCAUACUUAAAAUUGUGAGAGGAUCUGGAAAGGACAAUUGAAUCAUAUCCACACUUGAGAGCUGAGUGUCAACCUAAAGAAGAUGGACCAUCUAAUGUUCUCAUAUAUCUUGGAAGCGGAAAGGGUAUGCAUCCUUUUUAAAUCAAAAAUGUUGUCCUGACCACAUAGUUCUGUCCAUCAGUAGAAGUUGUGGUACCAACUGAACUGUUAUGUUAUCUCCCUUUUGGCUGCUAGAUACUAAGAUUAUGUAGAUUAUGAUCACAAUCAAUGAUUUAAGCACCAAUAAUUUAACAAUGGAUAUGGCACAAACACUAAGAAAUGGUGAAAUAGGAUUCAUGUAGCUGACCCUAUAUAGUUGGGAUAAACAUUGAUGAGUUAAGCACCAAUGAUAAUGAUGAUGAAUGGUCACAGCCAGUAAAUUAAGAGGCACUAACUUUUGGGGCUAAAAGUUAGAUUUGGUUGUUUGAAAAAUUUUCCAAUAACCAACUUAGGAUCAUCCAAUGGGGUAUAUCUUGGAAAAUGGCCCUUUAACCAAAAAAAAAACUAGGGAAAGGCCCAUUUUUUCAGGGAUGAACUUCACAUUCUGUUGGUAAAGGUAGUCUGAAUCUGCUUCUAUUUUGCAUAAUUUAUUAAUGUUCCUAGUGCUAACAACGUUUUGCAGUUCCCAACACACUCCUGUGGAAAAAAAAAAGCAGAUGCUAACUAAAAGAAAAGAAAACAAAAAAGACUUCAUUGAUUGUAUACCUCUGACUUUUUGCUUACUCACUGGUCAUUGUUCAAGAAUUAGCCAGUUAUUGAUGUAAACUCUGUAUUUUAUCUAUCAAAAAAAAUUUUGAUGUAGACUCUGUAGUCAUUGUCCUAAUUCUUGGGUUGGUUCCGUAGCCAACCCUCAAAUGAAACUGGUCAGUGACUUGGAGUUUUAAUCAUAAGAUGGCCACCAUAAGCACCACCUCUCUGCUAAGAGCAAGAACUCUGUUGGUUCAGAUUGGGCUAUAUAUACAAUUGAUAAAUCCUACAUUGUAUUUUCACUUUUCUGAAGAGACAUCAAAAGGGUUGCUCUUUUGGCUGUGUCCACAUGGAACUCUGCAAUUAAAAUUCUAAAAUCCCUUUGCAAGGGAAAGAACUGGAAACUGUUGUUCAAGGUAUAUACCCAUCAUCUCUCUACUCUCAUUUCAUUUCAUAUGUAUCUUACUAUUUUUAUGCUUUUUUUAUUUUCUAAGUUUUAACUUGUUAACAGUACUCUCUUUUUACUGUCUGAACUAGAUAGAAACAACUUAAUCUAGACAAGGAAUGACUUUCAGAUGUAUAUACACUGCAGGGAGUGCAUCUGCCUGAAAUGCAACUUAGGUAAUUUAGAAUGUUAGAAGAGUAUCUCAAGUUUCUCAAAUUGUAACUGAGGGGGAAUCACACUGGUUAUUACUAUGUACAGCACCACAGCUUGUGUGCAUAUGGAGCUUAAUAGUAGACUUUGUUCUGGAACGUUAGACACAAUACACAUCUCCAGUUAUUCGGUUAUCAUGUUUGCCAUCCAGGACCUAUCUGGUUCCAUCAAAAGGACCUAUUUAGAGGUGGUAUAGUUCUCACUGAUUGUUUUUGCUGUAUACUGAUGUUUCUUUACUGUUGAAAUAAAUUUAUUCUCAGCUUACUUGGAACCACUUCAGAGAAUAUUCAUUACAAGUUUGUACCA